rnacentral:rRNA from 1 species
CCUACGGGAGGCAGCAGUGAGGAAUAUUGGUCAAUGGGCGAGAGCCUGAACCAGCCAAGCAGCGUGAAGGAUGAAUGCCCUACGGGUUGUAAACUUCUUUUAUAAAGGAAUAAAGUGUGGCACGUGUGCCUUUUUGUGUGUACCUUAUGAAUAAGCAUCGGCUAACUCCGUGCCAGCAGCCGCGGUAAUACGGAGGAUCCGAGCGUUAUCCGGAUUUAUUGGGUUUAAAGGGAGCGUAGGUGGGUUGUUAAGUCAGGUGGGAAAGUUUGGGGCUCAACCGUGAAAUUGCAAUUGAUACUGGCAGUCUUGAGUACAGUAGAGGUAGGCGGAAUUCGUGGUGUAGCGGUGAAAUGCUUAGAUAUCACGAAGAACUCCGAUUGCGAAGGCAGCUUACUAGACUGCCACUGACAUUGAUGCACGAAAGUGUGGGUAUCAAACAGGAUUAGAUACCCGUGUAGUC